AGAACGAACGCUGGCGGCAGGCCUCAAACAUGCAAGUCUAGGGGGUGUAGCAAUACAUCACCGGCGGACGGGUGCGUAACACGUGGGAAUAUACCUUUUGGUUCGGAACAACGCAGGGAAACUUGCGCUAAUACCGAAUGUGCCCUUACGGGGAAAGAUUUAUCGCCAAAGGAUUAGCCCGCGUAGGAUUAGCUAGUUGGUGAGGUAAUGGCUCACCAAGGCUCCGAUCCUUAGCUGUUCUGAGAGGAAGAUCAGCCACACUGGGACUGAGGCACGGCCCAGACUCCUACGGGAGGCAGCAGUUGGGAAUCUUGGACAAUGGGGGAAACCCUGAUCCAGCCAUGCCGCGUGAGUGAUGAAGGCCUUCGGGUUGUAAAACUCUUUCGACGGGGACGAUAAUGACGGUACCCGUAGAAGAGCUCCGGCUAACUUCGCGCCAGCAGCCGC
rnacentral:rRNA from 1 species